UACAGAGGUCCCGAGCGUUGUUCGGAUUCAUUGGGCGUAAAGGGUGCGUAGGCGGCGCGGUAAGUCGGAUGUGAAAUCUCGGAGCUUAACUUCGAAACUGCAUUCGAUACUGCCGUGCUUGAGGACUGGAGAGGAGACUGGAAUUUACGGUGUAGCGGUGAAAUGCGUAGAUAUCGUAAGGAACGCCAGUGGCGAAAGCGAGUCUCUGGGCAGCAUCUGACACUGAGGCACGAAGGCCAGGGGAGCAAACGGG
rnacentral:rRNA from 1 species